rnacentral:rRNA from 1 species
UACGUAGGGGCCUAGCGUUGUCCGGAAUUAUUGGGCGUAAAGAGCUCGUAGGUGGUUCGGCAAGUCGGAUGUGAAAUCUCCACGCUUAACGUGGAGGGGCCAUUCGAAACUGCUGUGACUUGAGUCCGGUAGGGGAGUGUGGAAUUCCCGGUGUAGCGGUGAAAUGCGCAGAUAUCGGGAGGAACACCAGUAGCGAAGGCGGGUCGUCUGGGCCGAUACUGACGCUGAGGAGCGAAAGCGUGGGGAGCGAACGAGG